ensembl:lncRNA novel transcript
GCCCCCCAUCAACCUCUCGCUCUCUGGACUUGGGUUGUAAAUCGCCUCAAGGGGACAGAAACCACCCAGAAAGCUGGGAGGGGCCCCACGAGCUUACGACUGAGGUGGGAUAAUCCGCGGAGUGGUCACCCACGUGCUCGUGGCCCUGGAGUCCCUGUGACCAGCCCUGGAGACGUCACCUCAGAGGGAGGGGGCUUUGCCCGCUUCCUUCACCGCUGGGGCCGGGACCUGGAUCUUGAGCACAGAGUAGAUCUCGGUGAGAUGACAUCAUCGCCAUUAAAGUCAAAAGAAGUCUGUCUUUUCAUAAAGAUACAAAUGUCUGGAGGAGAUAAUUGAUUUGGCUAAGUGAUAACAUGUGCCCCAUUUAUUAAACAAAAUUUUUCAAUAAAAAGGAUUUUUUAUGA